AUAUUUACUUGGCAGGGGAGAUACCAUUAUCAAGAAGGCGGUUCACCCAGGGUGAGGCUCGUCCAUUGCAGUCCGGUCGUACUGACUAGGGCUGCACGAUGUGUUGUUUAAGCAUC
ensembl:snRNA U1 U1 spliceosomal RNA